rnacentral:rRNA from 1 species
CCUACGGGCGGCAGCAGUGGGGAAUAUUGCGCAAUGGGCGAAAGCCUGACGCAGCGACGCCGCGUGAGGGAUGAAGGUCUUCGGAUCGUAAACCUCUGUCAGCAGGGAAGAACGGUCACUGUGGUAAUCAGCAGUGAAUUGACGGUACCUGCAAAGGAAGCACCGGCUAACUCCGUGCCAGCAGCCGCGGUAAUACGGAGGGUGCGAGCGUUAAUCGGAAUUACUGGGCGUAAAGGGUUCGUAGGCGGUAUGUCAAGUCAGAGGUGAAAUCCCCGCGCUCAACGGGGGAACUGCAUUUGAAACUGGCAAACUGGAGUGUAGGAGAGGAUAGUGGAAUUCCAGGUGUAGCAGUGAAAUGCGUAGAUAUCUGGAAGAACAUCAGUGGCGAAGGCGACUAUCUGGCACAUAACUGACGCUGAGGAGCGAAAGCGUGGGUAGCAAACAGGAUUAGAUACCCCUGUAGUC